rnacentral:rRNA from 1 species
UACGAAGGGGGCUAGCGUUGUUCGGAAUCACUGGGCGUAAAGCGCACGUAGGCGGACUUUCAAGUCAGGGGUGAAAUCCCGGGGCUCAACCUCGGAAUUGCCUUUGAUACUGUAGGUCUCGAGUCCGGAAGAGGUGGGUGGAAUUCCUAGUGUAGAGGUGAAAUUCGUAGAUAUUAGGAAGAACACCGGUGGCGAAGGCGGCCCACUGGUCCGGUACUGACGCUGAGACCCGAAAGCCAGGGUAGCGAACCGG